rnacentral:tRNA from 1 species
GCCCACUUGGCGUAAUGGCAGCCGCGCCGGAUUCAAGUCCCGGUGUCCUAGUGACGUGUCAGUUCGAGUCUGACAGUGGGUAC